rnacentral:rRNA from 1 species
AAUGAACGCUGGCGGCAGGCCUAAAACAUGCAAGUCGAACGCUGUAGCAAUACAGAGUGGCGCACGGGUGAGUAACAUGUGGGAAUAUGCCUUUUGGUACGGAACAACGUUUGGAAACGAACGCUAAUACCGUAUGGUCCCUUCGGGGUAAAGAUUUAUCGCCAAAAGAUUAGCCCGCACUAGAUUAGCUAGUUGGUAAGGUAAUGGCUUACCAAGGCGACGAUCUAUAGCUGGUCUGAGAGGACGAUCAGCCACACUGGGACUGAGACACGGCCCAGACUCCUACGGGAGGCAGCAGUUAGGAAUAUUGGACAAUGGGCGCAAGCCUGAUCCAGCCAUGCCGCGUGAGUGAUGAGGGCCUU